UGCAAAAAUCAUCAAGUGAUCGACAAAGAAAUUUGAUAAAGUGUUGGAAAUCGUUAGAUUGGUUCAAUCGAUCAUCCUGAUUGCAAGUCAUUGUUGAUUGGAAACGUCCGUGAGCAGAAGCUGGAAAAUUAUCACCAUAUCUGUUUUAUCGAACUACUUUUCUUCAAAAAUUCCAUCUAGGAGAGACCUAAAUAGUAUCAAGGACAAUCAUUGUCUUUUCCAUGGAAUUGGAAAAGUGAUUCGCAGAUAGCAGCAGAACUCAGAGCAAACAGUAAAGGACGUAAAUCUGCAAAACACAACUUAGAAAAGUGAGCGCUGUAAUAAAAGUAGACGAGGAGCACUACCACUGAUCAAAUUUCAUUAUGUCAUCGUUUAUCUUUACGGGGCAAAAGACAAUCAGUCUUUUGAAGUAUCUUAC